rnacentral:rRNA from 1 species
GGGGGAUUGCAUGGGCGAAGCCUGAUGCAGCGACGCCGCGUGAGGGAUGACGGCCUUCGGGUUGUAAACCUCUUUCAGCAGGGAAGAAGCGAAAGUGACGGUACCUGCAGAAGAAGCGCCGGCUAACUACGUGCCAGCAGCCGCGGUAAUACGUAGGGCGCAAGCGUUGUCCGGAAUUAUUGGGCGUAAAGAGCUCGUAGGCGGCUUGUCACGUCGGGUGUGAAAGCCCGGGGCUUAACCCCGGGUCUGCAUUCGAUACGGGCAGGCUAGAGUGUGGUAGGGGAGAUCGGAAUUCCUGGUGUAGCGGUGAAAUGCGCAGAUAUCAGGAGGAACACCGGUGGCGAAGGCGGAUCUCUGGGCCAUUACUGACGCUGAGGAGCGAAAGCGUGGGGAGCGAACAGGAUUAGAUACCCUGGUAGUCCACGCCGUAAACGGUGGGAACUAGGUGUUGGCGACAUUCCACGUCGUCGGUGCCGCAGCUAACGCAUUAAGUUCCCCGCCUGGGGAGUACGGCCGCAAGGCUAAAACUCAAAGGAAUUGACGGGGGCCCGCACAAGCAGCGGAGCAUGUGGCUUAAUUCGACGCAACGCGAAGAACCUUACCAAGGCUUGACAUACACCGGAAACGUCUGGAGACAGGCGCCCCCUUGUGGUCGGUGUACAGGUGGUGCAUGGCUGUCGUCAGCUCGUGUCGUGAGAUGUUGGGUUAAGUCCCGCAACGAGCGCAACCCUUGUCCUGUGUUGCCAGCAUGCCCUUCGGGGUGAUGGGGACUCACAGGAGACCGCCGGGGUCAACUCGGAGGAAGGUGGGGACGACGUCAAGUCAUCAUGCCCCUUAUGUCUUGGGCUGCACACGUGCUACAAUGGCCGGUACAAUGAGCUGCGAUAUCGUGAGGUGGAGCGAAUCUCAAAAAGCCGGUCUCAGUUCGGAUUGGGGUCUGCAACUCGACCCCAUGAAAGUCGGAGUUGCUAGUAAUCGCAGAUCAGCAUUGCUGCGGUGAAUACGUUCCCGGGCCCUUGUACACACCGCCCGUCACGUCACGAAAGUGGGUACACCCGAAGCCGGUGGCCCACCCUGUGGAGGGAGCUGUCGAAGUGGACUAGCGGAUUGGGACGAAUCGUAAACAGGGUGAGCAGAUUA